rnacentral:rRNA from 1 species
CAGCAGCCGCGGGAAUACGAAGGGGGCUAGCGUUGUUCGGAUUUACUGGGCGUAAAGCGCACGUAGGCGGAUCCUUAAGUCAGAGGUGAAAUCCCAAGGCUCAACCUUGGAACUGCCUUUGAUACUGGGGAUCUCGAGUUCGGGAGAGGUGAGUGGAACUGCGAGUGUAGAGGUGAAAUUCGUAGAUAUUCGCAAGAACACCAGUGGCGAAGGCGGCUCACUGGCCCGACACUGACGCUGAGGCGCGAAAGCGUGGGGAGCAAACAGGAUUAGAUACCCCCGUAGUCCCUGUCUCUUAUAC